rnacentral:rRNA from 1 species
AGUGAACGCUGGCGGCGUGCCUAAUACAUGCAAGUCGAACGGAGUGGCGCACGGGUGCGUAAUAUAUAGCUAAUCUUCCCCUUGCUGCAGGACAACAGUUGGAAAUGACUGCUAAUACUCCAUAGCAAGGGAUGAGACUAUAACGUAUCAGCUAGUCGGUGGGGUAAUGGCCUACCGAGGCUAUGACGCGUAACUGGUCUGAGAGGAUGAUCAGUAAAAUUCGAAGUGAGGCACGGUCCAAACUUCUACGGGAAGGAGCAGUAGUGAAUACUGGGCAAUGGGGGAAAGCCUGAAGGAGCAACGGAGCGUGGAGGAUGAUACUUUUAGGAGCGUAAACUCCUUUUGUUAGGGAAGCGGUACCUAACGAAUAAGCACCGGCUAACUCCGUGCCAGCAGCCGCGGUAAUUC